GGGCUCGUCGGGGAAGUCGGGAGCGCAAGUUGUCUCACCAGGUCCUCGAAGCUGCGGCGGUGCUCCUUGCCCUGCCAGUCCAGGCGGCGGGGGAUCAGCUGCGGGAGAGAGACGGGGGAGGAGGGACGGGAGGGAGGCGGCCGUCAGACCCCGGCCGGCCCCGCCGCCGAGCGACCCCUCCCCGGGCGGGCGAGGGGAGCCCCCCGCCGGUGCCAGCCCGCCCCGGGGAGGAGCCCCUCCGCCGCUGCGGGGGCACCCGCGGCGGAGCCCCGGGAGGACCCGAUGGGCCGGGUUAGACGGAGCAGGGCAAACCCCCGGCAUCGCCGCGCCGCGUCCCCCCCCAACCCUCCCCGCCGCCGUCCCCAGGGCUUCCCCGUGUCCCCGUCCCCGUCCCGCCGGGGCAGGCGCCUUACCUGGUGCUCCUCCAGCUCCUCCACCAGUACCUGGGGAGAGACGGACGGACGGACAGACAAAGAACGGUCCGGACUGCAGGAACCGGGCGAUCAGGAUGCGGUCCUUCCCGCUGGCAGCCUCUUCUCAGGACGCUUCAAGGUACUCGACCAGGCGCCAGUAGCUCUCUGGAGGAGUCAGGCAGAUUCAUCGAUCAGCUCGUCACUAGCAGAGAUGUGAGGUGCCGCCUUACCAAGCUGCAAACUCCAGAUCUAGUGGCUUUCCAACAGUAACGACACUCCCACCUUCCCAGCGUUACACCGCAGCCUCUGAAGCUGCAGCACGGGUGCUUCCUGUGAGGGCUACAGUGUAAAACUGCAGUCCUCAAAUAAAUUACCAGCUAGAAAAAGAGUAUUGCUGAUGUUCACUAUCUUUAGAGGUAAUCUUUCUCCCACCUGUCUUCAGAACUGUGAAUCGCCAGCUCAUCUUUUUAUGUGUGACGGGGAUGCAAAGAAAAGAACACGUGAUGUUUUAUCAUACACCUGAAAGUGCACAUCAGUCCUUCUGAGCUAAAUGGAAUUCUGUGUCGAGAGAAAACACAGCACCAUAAGUAUUUAAUAGCACCACGUCCUGGGGUAUUCUAGUGCUAGCAGUUACCUAAUAGAUUUCUUUAUGAAUAUGGUGUGUUUCUUUUGGUCUGUGCCUUACGGAACGCUUCCACUCAUUAUUUGCUUUUCUUUGAGCUUGGGGGUGGCAACACGUGGGGCUGCACCACCACAAUAGGCAGGAUUCUUUUAGGGCCUGUCUAGAGCCGAGGGGAAUUUCUACAGUAAUUAAAAUCACUCUCAAAUCAAAAGCCUGGGAUAGAAAAUGUUUCCAAAGCAAGCUCAUCUGUCCCUCACUUGUGUCCUUCCCACACCGUUCCGACGGGAAGUCUCACCACAUGCUGUUUGCCUCAGUGCUUAUAAAUACACCCGCUCCGUGUCGCAAACGCUGCACCCUCAUCGCAGCUCAGACGGAUUCGUGCAUCAACAAGAGAGGAGCGCGUUAGUAAUCACCCGACUAUUUGUUACGCGUGUGUGGCAGAGUGCAGGUACGCAGACUAGGGCAUCCUGCAUUCAGGUCGAGUACAAACAGCAUUAGUCAUGCCCAAAACAGCCGUUGCGUAACUUGGCCGGAGUCCUCUGGCGCGAUCACAGCUGUGGUUUACUGCGCUGCAGUGACUCCCAAGCCUCUUCCCGAGUUGCUGGUCCCUGGCACCUCAGCUUCCUGUCGUUAAUAUUUUCCCAGUUGCUUUAUUAUUCCUUAAGGCUGUUAUACGGGCUGUGAUCAAUACCUCUUCCCGCUUCUCCCGGCUUUUCCCCUUAAGGACUCGUCUCUCUGGUGAGAAAUGCCCACUCUCAAGCGUAGCUUUCGUUCCCCAGGAGCUCCAUUUCCACAGCACGCUGCGGCCACACGCAGAUCUUGCAGCUCCGUGACUCAUCUCUUUCUGGAUCCCCUGCAUCCACGCAGCAGCCUGCUGGGGGAUGAUAGUAAAUCUCCUAGUGAAAGCAAGAUUUUAUGGUUGUGCUUAUUCAUCUUUCUCCAGAGCAGAGCUCUAUUAUCUAAGUGCCAACAGCAGCGGCGGCACCGCGUAGCAAAGAAGAACGUACUGACUGGCGUGGUAAUCUUUGCUAAUGAGCAACAGAGGUAUUCAGAAGCAGUGAUGCUUUAAGGAAGAAGCUGGAUUGUAACAGGUUUUUUCCAUGCUGCUUGUUAAAAAAAUAAAAGCCUUUAAAGGAUUUUAGGGGUAGAAAACGUUAGAUAAAUGCACGCUCAACACUGUCCCGCAGAGUGGAACCGGUCCCAUUCUGCUGUGGCCAAACUCGUCAGACCUUGCAGGGUUACCUGCCUCUCCCCACACCUCCUGGCAGGGCAGGGCGCAGGUUGUCAGGAACCUCUCUGGUCCGUGGAAAGCUCAAGAGGGUGGAUAACAAGUGCUGAACAUGUACCGGGAGAGUAUCUCGGAGGAUAUCGCUCUGAGAGAGAGCUUGCUGAGGUUAUAGAGGUGGGUCACAGGUGAGGCUGAUGGUGAGAUUUUCGUUUCAUGCAUGUAUAUGCAUAUUUCACACUUCCACAGGCUCACUUAAUUCCACCUUUCUACCUUCCUAUUGCCAUCUCUUGUUACUACUAAGUCCCCAGUUUCUUGGCGUAGCCCCUCUGUGCGUGCAUGUUGCUCCAAGCAAAAACCUGUGUGAAACAAAGCCCUCGGAAAAACUGCCUCAGACUUCUGCGUUGCACCACUAGCUUACCCAAACCGCUUUUAACAUUACGUAGAUGUGAUUAACCUGACGCACCUUAUCCCUCUGAAAAGCCCCGUUCCGACAACUUUUGCCAGUAAUAUUCAAACGCCCGUCACUUCCACCCGGUUGGUAUGGUGGAAACCUCUCGGCACUUAACAAUAAGCCAUUUUCCAGCUUUUUGCCUCUUUCUGGCUCAGCCAGGGCUGCGCUAGUGCUUGUGCUGAGGGCACUUUCAUACCCUGACUACUGGCAGCCUGUUCCUCCCCUGCAAAAUGGUCCGUCACAUCCUAUCGCUGUAGGUGAGAGUGAAUCCAAGCCAGCAGAGUUCACCCCUGUUUAAUCUGUCUACAAAAUUAAAUGGGUUUCCCCAAAGUCAGCUUGUAACGCCAAGUAAAUGUGUCUCUCUCUUACUUUAUUUAUCGUUACACCGAGGAGUCAGAUUCUGACUUCUGCUUUAACGUGGGCUGAAAUCACGGUUGCAGUUUUUCACAGCCAGACGGAAAUGUACGGUCGCAAAUCAGAAAGAGAAAGUUUAGAGCGGAAUGGUGCAGGUGUGCUGGCUUGUGCCUGGGUUGCACCUUUCCUUUGCCGUAAAUGUGGAUGGGAACGCAGGUGUCUGUCUCCAUUUGGAUUUAAACACUAGAGCAAGGUAAGCUUUUUCAGCUUUUUUUUAAAAUAUCUUCUAUGCACAUUUCUGCGUACGUCCUGCUCACCUUGGGCCUUUGAUAUGCAGCUAAGUGGUAAAUGAGGAUAACAAUGGUUUCAGAAGUGAAAACCGAGGUUUUGUUUAACUGACCCAAAAUUAAGUGUUAUUCAGAAGGAACUUAGGAACUGGUGCCUUGUACUGAGCAGCCGUAAGCCAAUACGGAUGUUGAAAAGUCAAGGUUUAAUUUAAGAUGAUCUCUAAAUACAGCAACCUCAAAAGGAAAGUUUGGUAUCGUAGCUCAUUCUAAAAAAAAUAUGAGGUGCAAAAUAAUUAGCAAUAGUAACAGUCCCGGGCUUUGCUUGAGAGCAGAAGUCGUGUGUGCAAAUCAACACCCUGCCUUGCGGGAGGAGUCUCCAAAGUUCCCCUCCUCCGUACGGGUUUUUCCCUUGACAACAGCUGUUAAGUAAUGAUUAAAUAGCUGUUAGAUGUUACACAAGAUCUGCUCUAGGUUUUUUGCUAUUUUUAAAAAUUUAAUAUUUAAUUUCCCUGCUGCAUCGUACCAACCUUUCCUCUAGAUGGUGCCCCAUACCCAAGAGCCGGGCGUAACGCUAUCCCACAUGAAAGGCGAUUGAGAAAUAGUCAGGACGCCACUCUCCUUUGUUUCUAAACUCUAUCUUACAAUAGUUCACCUAAGUUGAUAGAUUACUUGUUCUGCCUGAUGUAAAUAUGGUGUUUCUUCCUCCUGAGAAUCCUAAAACCCAUUGGCUAGCGCCUGAAAUGCCACCUGCCUGGAACUACCAUCUGUUACGCCGCGGACCGAUCCAUAUCUCAUAUUUCUUACGGCAGCCAUUAACUGGUGCUAGCUGUCGAUCGCCUGGACGGUAUGUACAUGACCACCGCAAUCGUGGGAACUUAUUGCUUGCCUGGUUUUCAAAGAAAUGAAUUCUCUCUGAAUAUUAUACAAAUGUUUAUCCAUGUCUCUGUUUUACACAGAAAUGCAAAAUUCCAAAUAUGGAUGAAAUGCAUAUGAAAAGGGGCAUCGGCAGGCUGCGUGCCUGCAUGCUCACAGCUCUGUAAGCGGAGGGACCAGGUAAAUAACGUCCGUAUUUCGGUGUACGUAUAUGCAGCGUCACUGAAUUUCAACAUUGUACCCGGACGUGCUCGUAACCCCGCAAGUGUUAGAAGUGGGAGAAUUACUAUGAGCUGUAAGCGGCCGGGUAGUUUUGUUAUUGUCGGGAUUGCAGUUGCGGUCGGCUGCGUCCCUGUGGAAGGGCCCGAUGCUGAUCCCGCGUCCGCAGGAGCCCCCCAGCUGGGACGGAGCCCCCUGGCCCCAGCCUCUCCCAGCUGCCCAGCGCAGCCCAUCGGGCGCGGGGUGGCCGCAGCUGCUGCCCGUCUGGGGCGCCGCGACGCGCAAAGGGGCUCUCGCCCCAGAAAUGCCGCCUGAUGUUGCCUGCUGGGGCUAAUCCAGCAACUUCAAGCCUUGCUAAUUUUUUUUUUAAUAACCCUUUGAUGUUUGGUUUGUGAUUUUGGGGGGUUUUAGGGCCCAAUCCUGCGGUUUUGACUUCUGGAAGCGCCGGGGAGCCUUACAGCCUGGGCACACGGUGUCCAGCUGCGACUGGGAAGUCAUCACCUCUCUCCCCGCAGACCUGGACAUGCAAAUUUUGCUGGGCCCCCUCAGCUAAAUAUCAGAGUUGGGCUCCUGGUCUGUAAUUCCCCGCUCCUCAUCCUGGAAGAUGGGUGCUGCGGGUGUCCGCUCGAGCCCCCGUCACCUUCGGGUUAUGGCGGAUGAUCGCCCGUAGCGACGCCCGUGUCCGGGCAGCGAUGCUCCUCGUCCCGCCAGUCCCAGUCGGAGGCGGUGCGUCUCCCGAUGCACAUCUCCCCUUCAGAAGUUUCUACUCCGGCUGAGAUUUUCGUCUCCCUCGCGGGACAUCUCCUGGGAAGCCCUGCACUCCUCCUGGAAAGGAGCCAGCACCUAUUUCCCUGUAUCUCUGCUGUCCUUGGGGUCAUCCGUGCGUCUGCAGCGCUUGCCCGCUGUGCUGCCGUCGGGCAGCUCGCUCGGCCCCUGCUGACACCGGCUGUGCCCCUUUCGGGUGUGAGCGAGCAGCUCCUGAGGGUUUCUUCCGCCAGGGGAAGGGAGCGGGACAGACGCUGCAGGGGCUGCCUGAGGUCCUGCACCCAAAGUCCGACAUCCCUCCGUAAGCGUCUCUUUCCAAGCCGACGCUUUCUCCGCAAGCAUUUCUGCCUGUCUUUCCUGGCCCUGCCUUUCUUCUGCAGCUUCCCUGAGAGGCAGCGGGGCUCUCCCGGCGCACUCAGCCCCGUUCCAGCCAAGCCCGGCCUUGGUGCAAGCCGGUCCCGUAAAGAAACCUGGUUGCUGUCCUGUGCCUUUCCUAAAGGAAAGGUGGGUGGCAGAAGCACCAUGUUCAACAAAAAUUUAAUACCAUUGUUAGGAAUUUAGAGGGGAGCUGCCUCUGGUCUCUACACCCAGAAGGGGGAUGGCUAAGCUAAUUGCUCUCCAGGCUCUGCUGAUGCAACGGCAAACCAGGAAAGCCAGGAACAAGCUGCGGGUCCUCCCUGGCCGGCAGCAUCCCUGGCUGCCCCCACGGAAGGUUUCUUCUCUUUAACAGACGUUUCUGUGGCAGAGGCUGCCCGUGUUCGUCGGGGAGCACACCUGGUCUGCCUCCGAGGGCAAGGCUGGCAGCUGAGCUCUGCCUCCGUUCCUGGGUCUUCCCCUUAUUUGUCUGGAUUUAAAAAAAAACCCCAAUCUCGCGCACAUUACAAUUACAGGGCAGGUUUUUCAAUGUAAGGAGGGAAAAGAAAUCGCCGACUUAAACUUCCAACGCAUUUUAUACGCAUUUCUUAAUAGCGUGAUGUGAGCACCAUUUUCAUGUUUAGCAUUAGCCUUAAAUUGCACUUGAAAUUUGGAGUUAAAUCCCCUUUGUAUAGUAAAUAGGCUUAGUGCGGUGGUGCCAAUCAGCCUGCCUGCCCCCCUCCCUUUCUGGGGGGGGGUAUUUUUCAGGAAAAGAAAGAGCCCACUCAUCUGACAUAAUGUACUAAGAUUCCCUGCUCCAGUAACUGAAAUAAAUCGGGCUAUUAAAAUCAUCAUUAGGAGCAGAUGUAGGCUGCUUUGGGGACAGCGAGGAGCUGCCGCUGGCUCCCCCCAUCUGCUGCUCCGCGCUCAGCCCCGGUCCUGGGCGCCGCUGCCCGUCAGCUCUGGCUUUAUUCCCUUUUCAUGAAGAAUCAGAAGCACCGUACAAGACAGAAGUUAAUAUGCAUUUGCUGGGGAGUGGGAAAACCCUAUAACUGCUGAUAACUAAAAGUUAUUCUGACAGAUGUGAGAUCCAGAGUAUCAAUAUCUGAAGCUCAAGGCAACAAGCAGGGACUAAUUAUCACUAAUAAUUUUCAUGGACAUAGUGUUAAUCUCUUUCAAACAGUCCCAACACCGUUUCCAUGUUUGUUCCCUCCAGCCAGGUUGGUUUUGCCAUUGUUUCUGCAUUAAAUAGGAGCAACGGGUGGAAAUUCAGUGGUUUAUCUGGGAAUACCAAACUCUCCCAGGCUCUUUUCAUCCCGUAAGCAUCCCAGCCGGGUUGGGACCAUGGAGAUUUAGUCACAGCACUGCUGGUGAAAUGUUCCCAUUUUUUCAUAGUCCUGGCUGAUUUUUAAAUGGGAGCGAAUAACUUUGACCAUCUCUAUGUCAGGGAAACCUUGAUGGGAAUCGCGCUGUGGUGCGGGCAAGGCUGGGCACUGGGACGAGCUGGAGCCGCGCCGGGAGCUCCUAGGUGGGUCAGACCCUGGCAGCGAACAGGGGUUGUCCUGUCGGGCUCCUCUCCUGCUUGUCAAAGGCAAAGAGUAUUUAUGGGGUAAAAUAUAAAGCCACGGGAAAGCACCACAGCCCUGUUUCUGCCCUGCAUCAAGCCUGGACUAAUCCAGUACAAAAAAGGAAUAAAAGCUGUCCGGCGUUUCAGCUAGGAAGCAGAGGUCUGGUGACAUUUGAUUUUGAGAUCAUCCGGAUGGUACGCUGCAAGAGGUAGAUGUUAUUCUGGAACCCACACUUAUCCCCAGGGACUUUGCUAAUGAUUCAGAUGGAGGGAUGUGCCUGGUGCUCCAGCGGGUGAUGGGAGAUCCAGAGCCGCAGCUAUUUUAAGCCAAGCAAAAAGGCAGCUGGCGUUAUGCAAAACCCAGCCGUUCUGUGUGCGUUGGGUACGGAGCAUCUGACUGUAAAUGCAUAAAUAAGUGCUGAAGGCUCCGUAGAGGCACAAUUUUUCCCAUUUGUGUGGCAAACUUCAGCCCGUUCAUAAAAACCGAAGAAACCCCAGCACACCCCGGCAGGAAUCGCUGGCGGAGGCAGCUGCGUUAAGCGGGUCUGGACUCGGAGGUUUUGCAUUGAUGAGCCACCGCCAAAAUAAGUACAUUUAAGAUAAUAAAGCGCUUCCUU